rnacentral:rRNA from 1 species
AACGAACGCUGGCGGCAUGCCUAACACAUGCGAGUCGAACGAGACCUUCGGGUCUAGUGGCGCACGGGUGCGUAACGCGUGGGAACCUGCCCUUAGGCUCGGAAUAACUCCCCGAAAGGGGUGCUAAUACCGGAUAAUGUCUUCGGACCAAAGAUUUAUCGCCUUUGGAUGGGCCCGCGUUGGAUUAGCUAGUUGGUAGGGUAAAAGCCUACCAAGGCGACGAUCCAUAGCUGGUCUGAGAGGAUGAUCAGCCACACUGGGACUGAGACACGGCCCAGACUCCUACGGGAGGCAGCAGUGGGGAAUAUUGGACAAUGGGCGAAAGCCUGAUCCAGCAAUGCCGCGUGAGUGAUGAAGGCCUUAGGGUUGUAAAGCUCUUUUACCCGGGAUGAUAAUGACAGUACCGGGAGAAUAAGCGCCGGCUAACUCCGUG